GGGGAGGGAGUAAGGGAGAGAGGGUAGUAGGAAGGGAGGGAGGUAAAGAGUUAGUAGGGAGUGGAGGUAGAAGUGUACGUAAGAAAAGAGGAGGUAGGGAGAUAGAGUAGAAAGGGAAGAAGGUAUAGAGAAGUGAAGGAGAGAAGGUAGAGGAAGAAAAGAGAAAGAGAGGAGAUAGGUAGAUAAGGUAGAAAGGGAAGAAGGUAAAGACUAGUGAAGGAGAGAAAGUAGAGGAAGAAAAGAAAUAGUGUAGAAGAGGAAGAAAAUAAAUAGUUGUAAGGAAAGGAAAAUAGACAUAGAAAAGAGAAGCAGCAUGGAGAUAGAGAAGAAAGGGAAGGAGAUAAAGAAUAGCGAAGGGAAGAGAGGUAGAAGGAUACAAAGGGAGAGAGGCGCAAGAGUAGGAAGGGAGGGAAAAAAAGACACAAAAAGGAUAGGAAAUAAAAAGAAGUAAGGGUGAUGAGUAGACAUGUCGCAAGGGGAAGGGGGAAAAAGAACAGGAAGGGAGGAAGGUAAAAAGUAGGAAGGGAGGGAAGGUAGAUAUAUAGAGAGGAAGGGAGGAAAUAGGAAGAGUAGAAGAUAAUGAACAGGAAAUGAAGAAAAGUAGAAAAGAAGGGAGAAAGAAUGGGAAGGUAGAUAUAUAGAGAGGAAGGGAGGAAAUAGGAAGAGUAGAAGAUAAUGAACAGGAAAUGAGGAAAAGUAGAAAAGAAGGGAGAAAGAAUGGGAAGGGAGGAAAUAAGAAAAGUAGAAGAUAAAGAAGAGGAAAUGAGGAAAAGUAGAAAAGAAGGGAGAAAGAAUGGGAAGGUAGAUAUAUAGAGAGGAAUGGAGGAAAUAGGGAGAGUAGAAGAUAAAGAACAGGAAAUGAGGAAAAGUAGAAAAGAAGGGAGAAAGAAUGGGAAGGUAGAAAUGUAGAGAGGAAGGGAGGAAAUAGGGAGAGUAGAAGAUAAUGAACAGGAAGUGAGGAAAAGUAGAAAAGAAGGGAGAAAGAAUGGGAAGGUAGAUAUAUAGAGAGGAAGGGAGGAAAUAGGAAGAGUAGAAGAUAAAGAACAGGAAGUGAGGAAAAGUAGAAAAGAAGGGAGAAAGAAUGGGUAGGUAGAAAUGUAGAGAGGAAUGGAGGAAAUAGGGAGAGUAGAAGAUAAAGAAGAGGAAAUGAGGAAAAGUAGAAAAGAAGGGAGAAAAUGGGAAGGGAGGAAAUAGGAAGAGUAGAAUAUAAGGAACAGGAAGUGAGGAAAAGUAGAA